GACGUAGGGCGCAAGCGUUAUCCGGAAUUAUUGGGCGUAAAGAGCUCGUAGGCGGCUUGUCGCGUCGGCUGUGAAAUCCCGUGGCUCAACUGCGGGUCUGCAGCCGAUACGGGCAGGCUAGAGUGCGGUAGGGGAGACUGGAAUUCCUGGUGUAGCGGUGGAAUGCGCAGAUAUCAGGAAGAACACCGGUGGCGAAGGCGGCUCUCGUGGGCCUUACCUGACGCUGAGGAGCGAAAGCGUGGGUAGCGAACAGG
rnacentral:rRNA from 1 species